rnacentral:hammerhead_ribozyme from 1 species
CCCCAGCUGACGAGACUCAACCAGGUCGAAACAGCUGUCCAGCAG